CUAUACAUGUCAGUCGAGCGGAUGACGGGAGCUUGCUCCUUGAUUCAGCGGCGUACGGGUGAGUAAUGCCUAGGAAUCUGCCUGGUAGUGGGGGACAACGUUUCGAAAGGAACGCUAAUACCGCAUACGUCCUACGGGAGAAAGCAGGGGACCUUCGGGCCUUGCGCUAUCAGAUGAGCCUAGGUCGGAUUAGCUAGUUGGUGGGGUAAUGGCUCACCAAGGCGACGAUCCGUAACUGGUCUGAGAGGAUGAUCAGUCACACUGGAACUGAGACACGGUCCAGACUCCUACGGGAGGCAGCAGUGGGGAAUAUUGGACAAUGGGCGAAAGCCUGAUCCAGCCAUGCCGCGUGUGUGAAGAAGGUCUUCGGAUUGUAAAGCACUUUAAGUUGGGAGGAAGGGCAGUAAGUUAAUACCUUGCUGUUUUGACGUUACCGACAGAAUAAGCACCGGCUAACUCUGUGCCAGCAGCCGCGGUAAUACAGAGGGUGCAAGCGUUAAUCGGAAUUACUGGGCGUAAAGCGCGCGUAGGUGGUUUGUUAAGUUGGAUGUGAAAGCCCCGGGCUCAACCUGGGAACUGCAUCCAAAACUGGCAAGCUAGAGUACGGUAGAGGGUGGUGGAAUUUCCUGUGUAGCGGUGAAAUGCGUAGAUAUAGGAAGGAACACCAGUGGCGAAGGCGACCACCUGGACUGAUACUGAC
rnacentral:rRNA from 1 species